rnacentral:rRNA from 1 species
AUUGAACGCUGCCGGCAGGCUUAACACAUGCAAGUCGAGCGAGCGGCGGACGGGUGAUUAAUUUCUGGGACACUGCCUGAUGGAGGGGGAUACCUACUGGAACCGUUAGCUAAUACCCCAUACCAUCAGAUGUGCCCCGAUGGGAUUAGCUAGUAGGUGGGGUAAUGGCUCACCAGGGCGACGAUCCCUAGCUGGUCUGAGCGGAUGACCAGCCAAACGGGAACUGAGACACGGGCCAGACUCCUACGGGAGGCAGCAGUGGGGAAUAUUGCACAAUGGGCGCAAGCCUGAUGCAGCCAUGCCGCGUGUGUGAAGAAGGCCUUCGGGUUGUAAAGCACUUUCAGCGAGGAGGCGUUACUCGCAGAAGAAGCACCGGCUAACUCCGUGCCAGCAGCCGCGGUAAUAC